CCGCGAUAGUCGCGAGAGUUCUCAUAUUUUUCGAAAAUGCGUCUGCUAGUCGCAUGUCUCGUGCUUUGCAUCGUUAUGCAGGUGUAUGGUCAACAACCCAUGCGUGGAACACCAUGUGAUACGCCUGAAAAAAAAGAGAUUUUUACAGAGUCCUGCGAAUCUUGCUUGUGCCUAAAUGGUGUGUGGGAGUGCAAUCCUUUACGUUGUGUUGCACAGAAUGAAUGUCCUGAUGAAGGACCUGAUUUAGCACUGGAUGCGAAAGGAUGCAACAUUUGUUGGCCAGGUGCGCCUGGUUGGGUCUGCACGCGGAUGAAUUGCAAAAGUGAAUGUCCUUGCCCGCAAAAUAUGCCUAAAGUUUAUGAUUGUUGAACAUAAGUACUAAAUAAAAAUGUACUAAAUA